GGCUGCUCCUGCCAGCUGGGAUGGCACUGGGCACAGCACACACCCAGCACCGGGAGAAUCAGUGCUGCCACUGGCCCCAGCUGGCAGGUCCGCACUAGAGCUGAUAUGCCCUGGGCCCUGUACCACCUGAGGAGGGUGUGGGGCCCCAGGAUCAGGGCGGGGGCAGGGCAUGAGCUGAUUUGUCCUGGGCCCCGCUGCAGGCCCCAGGUGGGAGAACCAGCCUCCUGCCAUCUGGCAGGCAGAUCGGGGGCCUGCAGCCCCAGAAGCAGUACAGCACAAGCCCCUGCAGCCCUCAUGGGGGUGCAGGUAGGUCCCCGAUCUGCCUGCCAGAUGACAGGAGGCUGGCGCUGCCAGCUAAGACCAGUGGCAGUACCGAUCUUCCUGGUGCUGGGUGCGGGCUGCACCCAGCGCCAUCCUAGGCAGCAGGAGCAGCCUCCUGUGAUCCAGCAGGCCAAUCGGGAGGCCCCCUGCAACCCCAAGAGGGCUGUCGGGCACUGCCAACUCCUCCCGGGGGUGCAGGGGACCCCUGAUCUGCCUGCCGGAUCGCAGGAGGCUGGUGCUGCCAGCUGGGAUUGGCGCUGGGUGCAGCUCAUGUCGGAAAGAUCAGUGCUAUCACUGGCCCCAGCCGGCAGCAGCACCAGCUUCCCAUCAUCUGGCAGGCUGCAGGGGCCUGUGCCGGACUCCUCCUGGGGGUGCAGACCCCCAGUCUGCCUUAUGCAUCACCGGAGCUUGGUACUGCUGGCUGGGGCCACCGGCAGCACCGAUCUUCCCGGCACUGGGUGUGGGCUGCACCCAGUACCAGUUCCAGCUGGCAGCAGCAGCGUCCUGUAAUCCGGCAGGCAGAUUGGGGGCCUGCACCCCCAGGAGGCAUCCAGCACAGCCCCACAGCCCUCCCAGGGGUGUGAGCGGGCCCCCGAUCUGCCUGCCAGAAAGCAGGAGCCUGCUGCUGCUGGUUGGGACCGGUGCUGAAACCAAGUAAGUCUUGCUUCAAAACAAAUAGUUUC
rnacentral:lncRNA from 1 species